AUAGAUUUCCAUACAUUUGCUCCCGACCGGUCCGCCCAAGCACCAUUAGACUGGGACCGUUGAAUCAACGCCAGGGCACAUCUCGGCUCAUGCCAUCGACCUGCACGAAUAUAGACAAAGGGUACGAGGAAAAACUAGAUCUUUGAGCUGCGCCAGAUCAACCGCUGCUUCAAGGAGUUUGUACUCAU